UCAUUAACAUUACUAAAACAGCAUGCAGUUAGAAGCUUCUAAAAAGUAAUUUACAGACUUGGUUAAAUUUAGAAUUUAAAGCGGAAUGUUACUGGCUGUAACAUAAUACCCUGGCUCAUCCCAUCAGACACAGCAACAGCAUGUUUGUUUCAGCAGCAACCCGAUGGAUAAAAGCCUGUCAAUACUCAGAUCACUUUAUGCCUCUCAAAAGCCACUGCUCAGCAUUAGGUCUCCGUUGAUGACAAAAAGUCCUAGUGGAAAGUAAAAACUGUGCCCAGAUGUUGUGUAAAAAAAUGAAGAAACUGCUAUUCUAUCAGCUACACCAAAGAUUAUCACCUUCUGUAAUUACUUUCUACUAUGACCAUGUAACGUUCAAAUCCCAAAUGCAGGGGCAGUAAUGUAUGAAAAAGCAAUCAAAGUGUUACAAGCAUCUCAUCAGACCUCUAUGUACCUGAGGCAGUAUUAACUGAAAUGUUAUGUGUGCAUAGAGGUCAUCGAUGUGUGGGUAAGACACUAAACUGUUGGAACAGAAUCAAAAUGAAGAUCUAACACAUACGCAGCUUCUUUAAUCCCCCCUGCAAAAUCUACCCAAGUUUACAGAAGGAAUUCAAUUUGCUUCUGAUCAGACCUAGGACACUAGCUCGGACUAGCUAACAUGAAAUUUUCAUUCAUCUCUGUUUUUGUUUUGAUUUAUGCCACAUUUUUUUUUUUAUAACAGUAUGAAGUUACAAAGAAUACUCCCGUGGUUAAGUGUCUUUUAACAGUGCCUGUCUUUCAGAUCACGUUACAGAAAAUACUUUAAGUUUUCACAAGACUUGACCCUGCAAUUUUGAGAAUGAAACUGUGGGAGGACUACUCAAGUACACAAGAGCAAGCCCAGAGUGUCGUAUGUGCAGAAGAGGAAAGGAAGAGGGAGCCAGAUGAAAAAUCCUUAAUGACAGCAUCUCCAAGUACCACAGCAGUACCUUCUAAAGCUGGAAGAUAAAGCUGAUGAGAAGGUUACCAUGACUACAGAAGCGGCAUAUUUGAAUGAAAAUUGAUGUUAAGCUUUUAAAUGCUAAUUGCAGCUGGAAACAGGUGACAACUGAAAUAUCCUUUUUUUUUUUUUUUUUUUUUUUCAACACUUUGCCAUCUAUAAUGAGUAAAAGAAAAGGGUGAAAAUGAUGACAACAUGGAGUUAAAUUAAAACACUAAUAUAUUCUUCAUCAUUAAAGUAUGUCACAUCAUUUACUUGUUCAUAGCAAUAGGCAAACACAUUAGAGAUAACUGACAGUGCAUAAUGGGUGAAAACUAUGUAUAUAACCUAAGUAAUGCAUUUUGGAGGAAUAUACUGAGUAAAAUUAAACAGUCUUCUUUAACUACCAUAGCAAUAGUUUCCAACAGCUCAUAAUCAAGAGGCUAUUAAAACUUAAUAUUCAAAAGCUAUUUUAUAUUCCCAGUGACGAGUAAAUCUCACAAAAGUCUGAAGUUAGGAGUGUUUCUUAUUCCUACCCCAUACAUUAGAAAAUAAAAGUUGAAUAUAUACACA
rnacentral:lncRNA from 1 species